UCGUCGGGGCGGGUGACGGAGCCGCUGCCGUUGUCACGCUGCUUCCCCCGGCCUGUCGCCUCACCUGGGGAGACCCGACCCAGGGACUCCCGCCGCCGUUAGCGGAUCGUCACUCGCGGUGACCCGCCUUCUUGCGCCUUUGCUUUCUCUUCAUUGGUGGAGCAGAACCGCUCGUCUCCGCGAUUGGCCCAGGCUCUCUGCUCGCGGCGGUGCUGUGGCCGCGGCGGCCAUCUUGGUUCCGGGCGGGAAAGGGCCUGGCGGAAACAAUACCAGUCGCGGGGGGAGGGGCGGGGAACAGAUCGGGCCGAGGCUGCCUAGGGGUGCAGCGCGCCCCCUGGUGUUACCCCAGCCCCGCGGCCUGCUCUCUGCGCUCACACCCUCGGCCCCAGGCAGGCAGCAGGUGUGGGCGCUGCCCUGCGCGGGGCGUCCGCGCUGCUCGCGGCUCUUCCCGGCCGGGCUGCGGUGGGGACGUGGCCGCUGAUGCUUGCGAGAGAUUAGCUGCCCCCCGACCCCACCCCUGAGGGCUCGUUCGCAGGCACUUCACCUGCCCGUGCUAAACCUGCUAGGCCCGGCCUGCGGGGCAGUGGGGGGCUUGUUCCCAAAGACGCUCCUUGGCAGACGCUGGGGUUGGCAUGGUUGCGUUUGAUCGCGAAUCAGUACAAUUUACCCUCCUAGGAGGACAUGGUUUGUGCCUACGUGGAGCCCUCAGAGAUAUAACACCGCCCCAGUGGCUUUGGAUUCAAAAAAGAUGGGGAGAAAAGAUGCCUCUGCCUCAAGAAUUCCUGUUGAGCAAUACAGAAAACAAAUAGGAAAACAAGAUUACAAGAAAAACAGGCCAGUGUUAAGAGCAACAAGAUUAAAAGCGGAAGCCAAGAAAACUGCACUGGGCAUAAAGGAAGUUGCUCUUAUCCUUGUUGCUAUACUGAUAUUUCUGUUGGCCUUCUACGCUUUCUUUUAUCUUAACCUAUCAAGUGAAGUUGACAUUGAUUUGGAUCCAAAUGAAAACUAGCAGAUCCAAUGUAUCUAUCCUAUCAUCGGAGUCUCUUCAGGAAAAGCAACUUCUUUGAACAACACUGCUUGGGAACACACAGUUUUAAUGCCUAAUAAUACUAUGAAUAUCUCAGUUACUCUUAAAGAUAAGCAGAAGAGGCAAAGAAGACUCAUGCAAAGGAAGCUGCUUAUGUUAAAACAAAAGCUGUACUAUUGUGACUUAAAUUAACUGUCUGCAUUAUUUUUUUCUCAGGCUGAGAACUCUGAUUCCAAAAACUGUGUUUUGUAUAUUGUUGUUGGUAUUGGGAAAAGGUAGAUGUUGACUUCUGGGUAGUCUGUCCUGACUUUAAAUCAUGAUUCUAAACUUCCCAAUAGCCAAAUUAGGUUUCCUUUUUUAAAAAAAAUACAGGAAAAAAACACAAGCCCCAAAUAAAACUUGCUUUGCUUAUUUGUAUUGGCAUUUGCACCACCCUCAGUCUUGCACUUUCCUGCUUUUCACACAUGGAGAAGUCAUAGAAAAUUUCUCUUUUUAGAUAUAGUCUCCCACAUCUUGAGUGGCCUAUUUUAUAUCCUAGAUUAUGCAUAAAUAUCUACAGUAAUCGUUUUCAUUCCUUGCCAACUGUUCAGUGCACAUGUGCUCUUUCAGAAAUGACACCUGGAUGACAGAAGCUCAAACAUUAACAUAUGCCUGUGAAAAAGAGUUUCUUGCCUUUUGGACUGUCUGAACUGGUAUAUGUAGAAAGUUCAGUUGAUGUUGAUUUUAAUUAGUAUACUGCUCUAUUAUUAAUAUAAAGUUGAAAUUCUAUUUUAAUUAUACUGUUCCUGCUAAUUGCAAUAGCAACUUGCUUUUCUCAUUAGGAUGGUGUGGUAAAAAUGUGUUUUCCAGUAAUAUACUUUUCCCCAUCAAAUUAAUAUAGGGGAUUGCACAAGCUAGCAUAUCUUUUUCAAGCAUAUUCCCAAAUGCCAGAAGAGCCUUGACUAACUGACAUCUGUUAGCAACUCUAUUGACAAAUUAACCCUAAUUUAUCUUGUAUAACAGUCUCAUUAGAGUUUCCUUUGCUUACUGACCUGUUUUGGAAGUGUUCAGAUUAAACUGAGUUUUGACCUAAGGAUAUUAGAGGCAAAGAGAAACCAAGAUAUAACUAAUAUUGUAGAGUAUAAGACUGUGUUUAUUUUAAAUUGACCUACAGCCCUAUUAUCACCAUUUAAAACAUGGUUCAAGAAUUUAGAUCAAUACGGCUAAUUUUUGGAGCAUUCGGUAUUGAUGCCUGUAUACAUUAUGAGUCUCUAAGGAUACACUUUUUAUGUUAUGUUCCUUAUUUGGAUUGUGUAUAUAGGAUACCUCAUCUAGAAAUGCAGAAUACUGUAGUACCUCCAACAUGUGUAUGAAAAGGAAAUAUAUUUAUUGGUCAUUCUCUAAAUUGUGACUUUUGCACAGUCACCAAAUCCAUAAAAUCAUACUUUCAUAGGAUUUAUAAUCCAGUAAUUUAUACACUACCAAAUGUGUAGCAAAAUACAGCACAUAGGGAGAAGCAUUUUGUGACAUGUCGCAUUCCUUUUACUAUGGUGAAAGGCAAUCACAAGCUGACAUUUUGGAUGUGACAUACCUUUCACUUCACUGAGUGCCAUAUCACAAGUCUCCCAGUGUUGCAGUCCUCUCUUUCAUUUUGCAUGAGCAAUUUCCAUCUUCUACUAACUCACAGGAUGCUGUAAGGAUUAUUUAGCUAAUGUUUGCAUAGUGCUUUGUGAGAGACAUACGGUAGAAAUACUAAAUACUUUAUAUUGCUGGAUUCAUUGAGUUCUGAAACUAUUACAUGAAAAAAAUUCGAACUUAAAAUAAUAACUUGAAAUUAUUAGAAUUUUCCAUAUUGUGUGUGUCACCCUAAAUGAAAACAAAAAUACAUCUGUGGGUGUAUUUAUUGGUUUAUGGACCAGGAGACCCCCUACAAUAGAGAGUAUCACAAAUCUCCUUUAUGUUAAAGUGCUACAUUUCGUAUUUGGCUAUUUUUCACUCCUGUAAACGACAUAACUAAGUGACAUGUAAUUAGAAAGUUGCCUAUUGCUUAGAACAUCUGAGGAGAUUCAUGCCCAGUUCACAUGGGAAUACAUGGAAAAUAUCGUAAAUGGGUUUUCAGUCCAUUAGUUAGAGAGGCUUGUUGAUAGCAUGAGUGUAGGCUUAACCCCCCUCCCCCCUCCCGUCCCAGUUUCAGUAACUAUUGCCCUCUUUUGUUGUUGUUGUUUGUUGUUUUUAUUUUUUAAACACAAAUGCGUUAAACAUAGGGCCUGAAUUGGGUCUUGUUUACACUUAUUUUCACUGACUCCUUUGAUUUCAGUGCUUACUCCUAAUUAUGCUCACUAAUGUGAAAUAGAAAUCAGGUCUGUUAUUAUAUCUCCCAGUAUACCUUUUGGAGCACAGCAGGUAUACAAUAAAGUUGCUUUUAGCUCCUCAUACGCAUGCUCCUGCUCUCUCUGUCAUGAUUGGACAUAUUUGUGUAUCUGAGAUCAGAUUCAAUCCCAUAAUUUUUUAGGUCAUUUGUCUUUGUAACCAUAGCUCAUGGACUAUUUUAAUAAUAAAAUUAAUCUUUUAUAUUUUUCUGAAACCACUCAUUAAAGUUGUAUCUGUUGCAUUGCUAUGGGAUGUACAUUUGAAAAUUUUAAUAUUAGCUUAGCUCAGUAUCCAAGUUUGAGUAGUGCUGUCAAAGACUGCACACUGUUUAUACAGUUUAUAGCAAACCAUGUGAUUCCUGUGCCCAGUUUAUGUUGAAAUCAUAACUCAGAGAGCUUCAUUUCUGUUCUAAUCUCUUCAAAUACAGUACAUUUUGCAAAUUGAAAUGCUCUGUUCAGUUCCUGAUAGAAAAUACUGUAAGUCAUUGCAUACUGCUUGCUACCAACUUGGACUUGAAUCAAUACCAUGAGACAGCUACAAAAUGAGGAAGUUCAAUUCUGGGGAGAGACAACGCUCCAGUAUUGCUGCAGCCCUUUGCUUAGGGAAUGCAUCUUUAAACUCCAGCCCAGGUUCCCAGCGAGCAGAAGCUGCUUAUGAGGUUUACUGACUCAGAGUAUCUCCCAGCUGCUCUAGGGUUGACUGGCCAAGCCUCGUUCUUUGGGCAGUGAUGAAUAGCUCUAGGUCCUCCAAAAGAAUGAGGAUUGAUGCUGUUUCCCUUCCCCAUUUAGUUAGAUGUCUGUCUUUUGUGGGAUUCUAGCAUGCUAGCAGUGAUCCAGCAUAGUUCAGUAUAGGUUGGACUUCUCUGGUCUGGCACCCUCGGGACCUGACCAGUCCCAAAUGAGGGAAUUUGCUGGACCAGAGAAAGUCCCCUGCUACCAGCUCCCCAGAUCACCUUUCCUCCCUGCUACCAACCCCAGCUGCCACCCACCCUGCUGUCGGGCUGCCAUGCUGCUCCAGCGCUGGUCCCUGCCCCAGCCCUGCUGGGCUCUGAGCCACCAACCCUCUUGUCACUUGGGCUCCCAGCCAGUACUCCCUGGUCCACGAACACCAAUGGUCCUGCUGGACCACGGAUGUUGCCAGAUGGAGUCCCAGCUUUGGGAGGUCCAAUGUGUAUCUGAGUUUUUUUUCUUUGACAAGUAUAAGCAGAAUGUUGACAAUUUCAAGAGUACAGCAGAAGCCUAAGAACUCCGUAACAGGAGGCAUACAUUGCCACUUAGUUGUUACCUGUUUGCAUGUAUUUGUAUUAUUGGAAGUGAAGGAUUCACUGUAAUUAUAAGUAUUUCUCUAAUAAAGACCACAGAGAUUUAUUUAAAAA